GCCUUCGUGGUGUAGUGGUCAGCACGCUCGACCCAUAACCAAGAAGUCCGUAGUUCGAUUCCCGGUGAAGGCG
rnacentral:tRNA from 1 species